UCGGGAAGAACCGCUUCUAGAAAAACGUCGGGAAGAAGUGGAACCGCUUCUAGUAAAAGUAGCAAACUCAGGAUCAAUCACAAUUCCCUGAACUUGUCUUCGUCCUCUCCGUCCCAACAAGUUUACUCCGCCAUGUCCUGGUGCCACCGGAUCUGUCACGGGAAUGUUUUCAGGAAUUGGCAUCUCUGUGGAGUGUCCUGAGA